GAGGAGAGGUAAAGGCGAGGAGAGAGAGAGGAGAGGUAAAGGUGAGGAGAGAGAAAGGAGAGGUAAAGGUGAGGGGAGAGAGAGAGAGAAAGAGAGAGAGGAGAGGUAAAGGUGAGGAGAGAGAAAGGAGAGGUAAAGGUGAGGGGAGAGAGAGAGAGAAAGGAGAGGUAAAGGCGAGGAGAGAGAGAGCAGAGGUAAAGGCGAGGAGAGAGAGAGGAGAGGUAAAGGUGAGGA